UACGUAGGGGGCAAGCGUUGUCCGGAAUCAUUGGGCGUAAAGAGCGCGUAGGCGGUCCGGUAAGUCCGCUCUGAAAGUCCGGGGCUCAACCCCGGGAGGCGGGCGGAUACUGUCGGGCUAGAGUCCGGAAGAGGCAAGUGGAAUUCCUGGUGUAGCGGUGAAAUGCGCAGAUAUCAGGAGGAACACCAAUGGCGAAGGCAGCUCGCUGGGACGGUACUGACGCUGAGGCGCGAAAGCGUGGGGAGCAAACAGG
rnacentral:rRNA from 1 species